AAAAAAUGUUAAUAUUAAAUUUGGUUCACAGGACUCUUAUUGCGUACAUCUUACUUCCUGGGAGUGAUUUUUGGUGAUUUCUGUUGUGGAUAAAUCGAGCAAAGGAAAUAAUGUUAUUCGACCAAUCGAUGAAACUUUUGCUAUUAUACGCUCCUGAAUAUAAUAAUU